rnacentral:lncRNA from 10 species
CGAAGAGAGGGUGGACCACGGCUGCGCGCUGGCUCCGGGAAGCGGUCGAUGCCCGCGGCCGACGGAGACUACAACCCAGAGGCGGAGGACAAAGCGGAAGGCCGAAGAGCGAGGACGAAACCGGCGGAACCGCACUUUGGAGCCUAACGAGCCAUCGCUGCGUCUGAGACUGGGACCCGGAAGUAAACAGGCCGGACGUGACGCAAGCCGCUCGGCCUAGGGAUGGUGGCUGGCCGGGUUGUCAUGGAAACCGCUCAGGAGCAGGGAGCUGGGAGCUAUGAGUGCUGACUGCGUGAACUCGGCCUCCACUUCCCGGACCUGCCACUUAUCAUGAUCCACGAGCUGUACUCAUGACUCCGCACAAGCAAGCAGGGGCUGACGGUCGGAUCCCUCGCCCCCAUUUUACGGACAGAAGUACCGAGGCUCAAAGAGAGCCAGUGAGAUGCUGAAAUCACGCGUGAUUGGAAUCCAGCCUUGCUAGGGCUGCGGGUGUUACGGGCCGUGGGCGGCGGUUAAGAGCGCUAGUCAAGUGAAGCAAUGGGAAUGGAGAAGAAACAAAUCUAUAACUGGUUGUGAUGAAUUAGUCGUAAGCACCACUGCAAUUGGACCAGUCAAUACCAUGGUUAUCACAGGAGUGUGGCUGAGGCUGUGUUUGGCCCUGGGUGCCAGGUCUGCACCCUGCACUAAGGAUGGGUGAGGAACGACAGGCAGUCGAGCUGGUUGGUGCUACAGGGCCCGGUGAGUCUGUGAGAUGCUCACACGCCCCCUGGUGGUGUCAG